rnacentral:rRNA from 1 species
UACGUAGGCAGCGAGCGUUGUUCGGAGUUACUGGGCGUAAAGGGUGUGUAGGCGGUUGUUUAAGUUUGGUGUGAAAUCUCCCGGCUCAACUGGGAGGGUGCGCCGAAUACUGAAUGACUUGGAGUGCGGGAGAGGAGAGUGGAAUUCCUGGUGUAGCGGUGAAAUGCGUAGAUAUCAGGAGGAACACCGGUGGUGUAGACGACUCUCUGGACCGUAACUGACGCUGAGACACGAAAGCGUGGGUAGCAAACAGGG